rnacentral:rRNA from 1 species
CGAGUUGUAAUUUGCAGAGGGCGCUUUGGUGUUGGCAGCGGUCCAAGUUCCUUGGAACAGGACGUCACAGAGGGUGAGAAUCCCGUACGUGGUCGCUAGCCUUCGCCGUGUAAAGCCCCUUCGACGAGUCGAGUUGUUUGGGAAUGCAGCUCUAAAUGGGAGGUAAAUUUCUUCUAAAGCUAAAUACUGGCCAGAGACCGAUAGCGCACAAGUAGAGUGAUCGAAAGAUGAAAAGCACUUUGGAAAGAGAGUCAAAUAGCACGUGAAAUUGUUGAAAGGGAAGCGCUUGCAGCCAGACUUGCCUGUAGUUGCUCAUCUGGGCUUUUGCCCGGUGCAUUCUUCUAUAGGCAGGCCAGCAUCAGUUUGGGCGGUUGGAUAAAGGUCUCUAUCACGUACCUCUCUUCGGGGAGGCCUUAUAGGGGAGACGUCAUACAACCAGCCUAGACUGAGGUCCGCGCAUUUGCUAGGAUGCUGGCGUAAUGGCUGUAAGCGGCCCGUCUUGAAACACGGACCAAGGAGUCUAACAUCUAUGCGAGUGUUUGGGUGUCAAGCCCGAACGCGUAAUGAAAGUGAACGGAGGUGGGAACCCUUUGGGUGCACCAUCGACCGAUCCUGAUGUCUUCGGAAGGAUUUGAGUAAGAGCAUGGCUGUUGGGACCCGAAAGAUGGUGAACUAUGC